ACCGAUAGUGAACCAGUACCGUGAGGGAAAGGUGAAAAGCACCCCGGAAGGGGAGUGAAAUAGAACCUGAAACCGUGUGCUUACAAGUAGUCAGAGCCCGUUAAUGGGUGAUGGCGUGCCUUUUGUAGAAUGAACCGGCGAGUUACGAUUUGAUGCAAGGUUAAGCAGUAAAUGUGGAGCCGUAGCGAAAGCGAGUCUGAAUAGGGCGUUUAGUAUUUGGUCGUAGACCCGAAACCAGGUGAUCUACCCUUGGUCAGGUUGAAGUUCAGGUAACACUGAAUGGAGGACCGAACCGACUUACGUUGAAAAGUGAGCGGAUGAACUGAGGGUAGCGGAGAAAUUCCAAUCGAACCUGGAGAUAGCUGGUUCUCUCCGAAAUAGCUUUAGGGCUAGCCUCAAGUGAUGAUUAUUGGAGGUAGAGCACUGUUUGGACGAGGGGCCCCUCUCGGGUUACCGAAUUCAGACAAACUCCGAAUGCCAAUUAAUUUAACUUGGGAGUCAGAACAUGGGUGAUAAGGUCCGUGUUCGAAAGGGAAACAGCCCAGACCACCAGCUAAGGUCCCAAAAUAUAUGUUAAGUGGAAAAGGAUGUGGCGUUGCCCAGACAACUAGGAUGUUGGCUUAGAAGCAGCCAUCAUUUAAAGAGUGCGUAAUAGCUCACUAGUCGAGUGACACUGCGCCGAAAAUGUACCGGGGCUAAACAUAUUACCGAAGCUGUGGAUUGUCCUUUGGACAAUGGUAGGAGAGCGUUCUAAGGGCGUUGAAGCAUGAUCGUAAGGACAUGUGGAGCGCUUAGAAGUGAGAAUGCCGGUGUGAGUAGCGAAA
rnacentral:rRNA from 1 species